AGACCCGAAACCCGGUGAUCUAGCCAUGGGCAGGUUGAAGGUUGGGUAACACUAACUGGAGGACCGAACCGACUAAUGUUGAAAAAUUAGCGGAUGACCUGUGGCUGGGGGUGAAAGGCCAAUCAAACCGGGAGAUAGCUGGUUCUCCCCGAAAGCUAUUUAGGUAGCGCCUCGUGAAUUCAUCUCCGGGGGUAGAGCACUGUUUCGGCUAGGGGGCCAUCCCGGCUUACCAACCCGAUGCAAACUGCGAAUACCGGAGAAUGUUAUCACGGGAGACACACGGCGGGUGCUAACGUCCGUCGUGAAGAGGGAAACAACCCAGACCGCCAGCUAAGGUCCCAAAGUCAUGGUUAAGUGGGAAACGAUGUGGGAAGGCCCAGACAGCCAGGAUGUUGGCUUAGAAGCAGCCAUCAUUUAAAGAAAGCGUAAUAGCUCACUGGUCGAGUCGGCCUGCGCGGAAGAUGUAACGGGGCUAAACCAUGCACCGAAGCUGCGGCAGCGAACGUAUCACCCAAGACAACUUUACGGAGUUGGCGAUUGACGGAGCGAAGCGACGUCAAAGCGUUCAUUAAAGUCGAGUUGGCUUAGGGAUACGUUCGUUGGGUAGGGGAGCGUUCUGUAAGCCUGUGAAGGUGUGUCGUGAGGCAUGCUGGAGGUAUCAGAAGUGCGAAUGCUGACAUAAGUAACGAUAAAGCGGGUGAAAAGCCCGCUCGCCGGAAGACCAAGGGUUCCUGUCCAACGUUAAUCGGGGCAGGGUGAGUCGACCCCUAAGGCGAGGCCGAAAGGCGUAGUCGAUGGGAAACGGGUUAAUAUUCCCGUACUUGGUGUUACUGCGAAGGGGGGACGGAGAAGGCUAUGUUGGCCGGGCGACGGUUGUCCCGGUUUAAGCGUGUAGGUGUGUGUUCCAGGUAAAUCCGGUUCACUUUAACACUGAG
rnacentral:rRNA from 1 species